CUUUUAUUUGAAUAAAGUAAAAGGACUCCUCUGUCUCCUUUUUGGAGACAGAGGAGUCCUUUUACACCAUAAACCUCUGGUGUUCGUGGAUUAAUUUUCCUGACAUUCCUAUCCCCAGAUCUCUGCCUAAAGGCCCCUUGAUUUCAAAAUAAUAAUAAUUCGGAGGGAGGGGGUCUACAUUCUUUCAUUCCAAGGGAGGCUCCUGCCCUCCCUAGCAGACACCUGUCUUCUAGAACCGAGACAUAUGGCUAAGUAAAGAACAAAUAAUAACUAAUUAAAUGCCUUAAGUUUUGUUUCAGGGCAAGGAAAUUACUGUUGGAUUGCUGAUCAGCCAAGCUUUUCUAGAGAGAAAAAAUCAAGACUUCCAUACAUAAAAAAUUCAAUGUGUAGAAUUCAAAAUAAAUUCAAAGGUAUCCAUCUCUGAUCCAUUGCAACUAUUAUAAGAAAUAGAGUACAAACUGGGGUCAUCAUGGAGGAGCCCUAGCUUUAAGGAGGAGCACAGGACAGUACUGAAGUAUGAAAAAUACAGAAGCAUCUAGUUUAUGCACUGGUCAUGUUUCUGCAGUAUACUUUUCUUCAUUAAAGGAAGAGGCUAAAAUCAGCUUUUUAAUGAAAUAAGCUGAAAUAGUAUUUGGCUUCAUCAGAAUAUUGCAAAUUUGUAAUGAAAUUCAUCGACUUCUACAGAGUUUCUUGUGAUGGCCUCCAAGUAUCAAUAUUCAACGAGACAGUGAAAAGAAGGCAGAUGUAAUUUUCUCCUAUUGUAUAAGUCCAUACCCUGGAGAAUUAAUUCAGAAAGUCAGACUUACUUUGUGUUUACCUGUCUUUUCUUAUUUCUGCAAAUUUGAACUGUUUACUUUCUGUGCAAUAUAAAACACUCCCUAAUUUCUUCUUGUCCUACAUUAAUUCCUGUUCCAAUGUCACAGAUGAUUUGUAAACAACGCUGUUUUGUUAUUUGUACAUUUUUUGAUGGGAUAGCAAAUGCUAAAAAUUAUCGCACCAUUUGAAACAAAAAAUCCUUAAAAUAUUGUAACAAUCUGUAUGUAUCUCUUAAUUGUAGAGAGAAGUAGUAUUUCCCAUAUUUUCAAUAAAUUUAAAGACAUUUAUUCUCCA
rnacentral:lncRNA from 1 species